AACGAACGCUGGCGGCAUGCCUAACACAUGCAAGUCGAACGAACCCUUCGGGGUUAGUGGCGCACGGGUGCGUAACGCGUGGGAACCUACCAUCAGGUUUGGAAUAACAGUUAGAAAUGACUGCUAAUACCAGAUAAUGUCCUCGGACCAAAGAUUUAUCGCCUUUUGAUGGGCCCGCGUUAGAUUAGCUAGUUGGUGAGGUAACGGCUCACCAAGGCGACGAUCUAUAGCUGGUCUGAGAGGAUGAUCAGCCACACUGGGACUGAGACACGGCCCAGACUCCUACGGGAGGCAGCAGUGGGGAAUAUUGGACAAUGGGCGAAAGCCUGAUCCAGCAAUGCCGCGUGAGUGAUGAAGGCCUUAGGGUUGUAAAGCUCUUUUACUAGGGAUGAUAAUGACAGUACCUAG
rnacentral:rRNA from 1 species